UAGCAUAUCAAUAAGCGGAGGAAAAAGAAACCAACCGGGAUUGCCUUAGUAACGGCGAGUGAAGCGGCAAAAGCUCAAAUUUGAAAUCUGGUACCUUCGGUGCCCGAGUUGUAAUUUGGAGAGGGCAACUUUGGGGCCGUUCCUUGUCUAUGUUCCUUGGAACAGGACGUCAUAGAGGGUGAGAAUCCCGUGUGGCGAGGAGUGCGGUUCUAUGUAAAGUGCCUUCGAAGAGUCGAGUUGUUUGGGAAUGCAGCUCUAAGUGGGUGGUAAAUUCCAUCUAAAGCUAAAUAUUGGCGAGAGACCGAUAGCGAACAAGUACAGUGAUGGAAAGAUGAAAAGAACUUUGAAAAGAGAGUGAAAAAGUACGUGAAAUUGUUGAAAGGGAAGGGCAUUUGAUCAGACAUGGUGUUUUGCGCCCUCUGCUCCUUGUGGGUGGGGGAAUCUCGCAGUUCACUGGGCCAGCAUCAGUUUUGGUGGCAGGAUAAAUCCGUAGGAAUGUAACUUGCUUCGGGAAGUAUUAUAGCCUAUGGGAAUACUGCCAGCUGGGACUGAGGACUGCGACGUAAGUCAAGGAUGCUGGCAUAAUGGUUAUAUGCCGCCCGUCUUGAAACACGGACCAAGGAGUCUAACGUCUAUGCAAGUGUUUGGGUGUAAAACCCAUACGCGUAAUGAAAGUGAACGUAGGUUGGGGCCUCGCAAGAGGUGCACAAUCGACCGAUCCUGAUGUCUUCGGAUGGAUUUGAGUAAGAGCAUAGCUGUUGGGACCCGAAAGAUGGUGAACUAUGCCUGAAUAGGGUGAAGCCAGAGGAAACUCUGGUGGAGGCUCGUAGCGGUUCUGACGUGCAAAUCGAUCGUCGAAUUUGGGUAUAGGGGGCGAAAGACUAAUCGAACCAUCU
rnacentral:rRNA from 1 species